UGAAUAUUUCAGUAUUUAGAUUACCUGCAGCAGCAUUGCUGAAGAUUUGUCGGAGCACCUCGGACAGGAGUGUAACGGGGAAAAAAGCAGCUGUAUGGCACCCAUUCACUGCAGAGGAUCCAUUGGUGAAGAAGUGAUGUAAUGCUACAUUUCUCCUACAAAUCUGUUCUGAUGAUGAAAUAACUCAUCUACAUCUAGGAUCACCUGAGGAUGGAGUUUGUCUUGGAUUGAGGAGUCGACCAUCAGAAAAUCAACGAACCGUACUGCUAACUAUAAUGGAGGGCGCCGUUACUCUGUAGGAUCAGAAGGAACCGGUUUCCCUCUCAUUUCACUUUCUCCUUUGCAUUUCGGUUGACCUGUGCACCA
ensembl:lncRNA